CUUACAUCAUCAUUCAUCUUAAAUAGACCUGAUGUCAUGUUGUCAGCCAAGUAGAAGCUCCAAUCAGUCAUCUUCAUCAUCAUCAUCAUCAUCAUCAUGUUCUCUGUAGUUCUGCUGCUUCUGGCUGCUGGAUCCUGUGUAAAGUGUGAACAGCUGACACAGCCAGCCUCUGUGAGUCUGCAGCCAGGUGAGAGGCUGACCAUCACCUGUCAGGUCUCUUAUUCUGUGAGCGGCUACUACACAGGUUGGAUCAGACAGCCUGCAGGGAAAGGACUGGAAUGGAUUGGGAUGAAAUACACUGGAGGCUCUCACUACAAAGAUUCACUGAAGAACAAGUUCAGCAUUGAUGUAGACUCUUCCAACAACAGAGUGACUCUAAAUGGACAGAACAUGCAGCCUGAAGACUCUGCUGUGUAUUUCUGUGCCAGAAGGUCACAGUGAUACAAACCAUCAGCA